rnacentral:rRNA from 1 species
CCUACGGGAGGCUGCAGUGGGGAAUAUUGGACAAUGGGCGCAAGCCUGAUCCAGCAAUGCCGCGUGUGUGAAGAAGGCCUGCGGGUUGUAAAGCACUUUAAGCAGGAAAGAAGGGGUGAAAGUUAAUACCUUUCAUCAUUGACGUUACCUGCAGAAUAAGCACCGGCUAACUCCGUGCCAGCAGCCGCGGUAAUACGGAGGGUGCGAGCGUUGAGUGGAAUUACUGGGCGUAGUUUGAUCAUUCCGGGGUGAAAGCCCUGGGCGUAACCUGGGAACUGCGGUUGAUACUGUCGGGCUAGAGUGUGGUAGAGGGGAGUGGAAUUUCCGGUGUAGCAGUGAAAUGCGUAGAGAUCGGAAGGAACACCAGUGGCGAAGGCGGCUCCCUGGACUAACACUGACGCUGAGGUGCGAAAGCGUGGGGAGCAAACAGGAUUAGAUACCCUAGUAGUC